CGUGUAGGCGGCCAGGUAAGUCAGAUGUGAAAGUCCCGGGCUCAACUCGGGAAGUGCAUUUGAAACUGCUUGGCUUGAGUAGGAGAGAGGAAAGUGGAAUUCCUGGUGUAGAGGUGAAAUUCGUAGAUAUCAGGAGGAACACCGGUGGCGAAGGAGGCUUUCUGGCUCUAUACUGACGCUGAGACGCGAAAGCGUGGGUAGCAAACAGGAUUAGAUACCCUGGUAGUCC
rnacentral:rRNA from 1 species